rnacentral:lncRNA from 1 species
GCCACUGGGAAAGGAUCUCUUUCUGGAGGUUGCUCCUCUUUAUGUUUUUUUCUGUGAGCCUAGGACACAGCCCUACAGAGAAAAAGAGGAAUGAAGCGUCAUCACCUAUUUUCUUCCUCCUGCCACCCUGCAAAAUGAGAAGUUGCACACUUCUGAAGGAUUACUGCCAGAGGCUACUGCCUCCUCUGGUCUCCCAGUUCAGGUGCCUCCCAGGUUAUCUUUGAUCUUGCUGAUAAAACUGUCCUAACAUUAGAGCUGAAAUCUCACCUUGCACGUAAAGGACCUUGUGCGCACGCAGUGUCUUUUCUGGCUUAUCAAAGACAGUUUUAAAAAGAGAAAUGUUAAGGAAACUUUACUGAAUGAGAUCUCCAGUGUCAGAACCCCCAGAUACUAUGUGAGAUGACAGGCAAAAAGGUGGAGACAGGGCAGACGCCUGUAUUCUCCUGUGCUGCCUGACAGGUGUCUGUCUGUCUGUCCCAGAUUCGUGCUCCAGAGCUGGCCUAACUAUUCUGCUCUGUGUUCUCAGUAUCCUGUCAGUGUGGGGGCCUCAGUGCUCUGACUCCAGUGCUACUAAAAUCAGAUGACAUCUUCCUGAGCCACAGUAAUAUGGUGAAGCCAGGGGAUAAAUGGAGUCAGUUCAUGGGUGGUGAACCAUCUGGCAAGCAGUGAACCUGGGAAAGGCAGAGCAUAUGCUCUAGGCAAAAUCAAAUGUCUUUUCAGAUAUAAUAGCUUCUCUGUAGAUAUCUUGUCUGAAAAAGAACAACUUUGUUUUUUGGUUUUGUUCAUGAUUUAGGAAAUUCUCCUUAUUUUUUCACUGGUGUAUGUACCUUUGUAAAGUUCUGUACAUGUAUGAAGAUAGAAAAGUAGUUAUGACUUCAUUUUUUGUGGCAACUCUAUGAUAUACCAUCAGUAAUGAUGAAUUAUGUUUCAGAUAUCAACAACGUUCAAACCAAUUUAGGACUUUGUAUCUCUUUUCAUUAAUACAGUGGGUGUUUCAGAUGCCAUAACCAAAAUAUCUAAAAUAUUUCUGAGAGCUUUUUUAUGAAGUUCACGGCACAUAACUUUGCUCCUUAGGUAUAAUCGUACAAUAUAAUAUGGUAUAAUGCAGCCACUAUAAAGAUAAUAAUUGGACAGGUGGAAUUUUCCUAAUAACGUGAUCUGAGUCUGUGAAAUCGGGUCAAGUAAAUCAUAGGUAUUUCCAACAUCAAUUAAAAAUGUGUUUAAUCUUGAUUUUUCUGUAAUAUAAGCCAGUCAAAUGUGCUCUUACAGACCUAUUUCUUUAACAUAAUUGUCCUUGACAAACAGUCAACCAGGGAUGAUAAGGAAUUUCCCUGUCUCAGAUCCCAGGCUUCAUUGUUCCUCUUCUUCCUGGCUUUCAUGCCAUAUGUUACUUUGUAUCAAAUGGUGUAAUGAUUACAUAAUACAUUUUGGAAAAACAGCUCUGUUGCAUCUAUUCUUUAUUCUCUCAUCUCCCUUUCUCUCUUUGUCAUUACUGAAAAAUAAACUCUAUGGGCAAUCCUCUUUUUGCAG